UCCGAAGGGGGCUAUCGUUGUUCGGAAUUACUGGGCGUAAAGCGCACGUAGGCGGGUUUGUAAGUAGGGGGUGAAAUCCCAGGGCUCAACCCUGGAAUUGCCUUCUAGACUGCAAGCCUGGAGGUCAGGAGAGGCGAGCGGAAUUCCGAGUGUAGAGGUGAAAUUCGUAGAUAUUCGGAGGAACACCAGUGGCGAAGGCGGCUCGCUGGACUGAUACUGACGCUGAGGUGCGAAAGCGUGGGGAGAAAACAGG
rnacentral:rRNA from 1 species